rnacentral:rRNA from 1 species
GGAUGCGAGCGUUAUCCGGAUUUAUUGGGUUUAAAGGGUGCGCAGGCGGAAUGUCAAGUCAGCGGUAAAAUUUCGGGGCUCAACCCCGUCGUGCCGUUGAAACUGGCGUUCUUGAGUGAGCGAGAAGUAUGCGGAAUGCGUGGUGUAGCGGUGAAAUGCAUAGAUAUCACGCAGAACUCCGAUUGCGAAGGCAGCAUACCGGCGCUCAACUGACGCUCAUGCACGAAAGCGUGGGUAUCGAACAGGAUUAGAUACCCUGGUAGUCCACGCAGU